rnacentral:rRNA from 1 species
UACGGAGGAUGCAAGCGUUAUCCGGAAUGAUUGGGCGUAAAGCGUCCGUAGGUGGUUCUGUAUGUCUACCGUGAAAGCGUACGGCUCAACCGUAUUUUGUCGGUGGAAACUGCAGGACUUGAGGCUGGGAGGGGCUGGUGGAAUUCCCUGUGUAGCGAUGAAAUGCGUAGAGAUGGGGGAGAACACUCGUGGCUAAGGCGGCCAGCUGGACCAGUUCUGACACUGAGGCGCGACAGCGUGGGGAGCAAACAGG